rnacentral:rRNA from 1 species
AUCUAUGGCCACAGCAUCCUGAAUGUUCACGAUCUUUUCUGAUCUCAGAAGCUAAGCAAGAUUGGGCCUGACUAGUACCUGGAUGAGGGAUAUCUAUUUCAAACCUCCUUGCUGCUGUGUCAGAUC